rnacentral:ncRNA from 2 species
AACGCUCUCGCGGGAGAGAUCGGGGCCGUUCCGACGGCUCCGGAGCCGAAGGCGCAACCGCCCCGGAAACGCUCAGGCAAAAGGACCGCGGGGCGCAC